rnacentral:rRNA from 1 species
ACCUGAUCCAGCCAUGCCGCGUGAGUGAAGAAGGCCUUCGGGUUGUAAAGCUCUUUCGGCCGGAACGAAAUCGCUCGGGUGAAUAUCCCGAGUGGAUGACGGUACCGUAAGAAGAAGCACCGGCUAACUACGUGCCAGCAGCCGCGGUAAUACGUAGGGUGCGAGCGUUAAUCGGAAUUACUGGGCGUAAAGCGUGCGCAGGCGGCUUCGCAAGUCAGGUGUGAAAUCCCCGGGCUUAACUUGGGAAUUGCGCUCGAAACUACGGAGCUCGAGUGUGGCAGAGGGAGGUGGAAUUCCACGUGUAGCGGUGAAAUGCGUAGAGAUGUGGAGGAACACCGAUGGCGAAGGCAGCCUCCUGGGCCUACACUGACGCUCAUGCACGAAAGCGUGGGGAGCAAACAGGAUUAGAUACCCUGGUAGUCCACGCCCUAAACUAUGAUGACUAGUUGUUGGGGGAGUUAAAUCCCUUAGUAACGCAGCUAACGCGUGAAGUCAUCCGCCUGGGGAGUACGGUCGCAAGAUUAAAACUCAAAG